ACACACCACUGGUUGCACAACAGUGUGGUCCCUCUUGAUAACAGAAAAAAUAUUGCAUGUCUCUGCAAAGAGAAUUAAUGGCAUUAUGACAUUUACUGAACACAUAAAGUACUUAAACACAUCAGAAAAUAUGUGACUUUGUAAAGGAGUUCAAUUUUUAAAUGUCAAACUCUCUUUAAAGCAGAGAGAUUUUAGAGAGCCUAUUUGGAUUCCUGGUACAAUCACUAUCUUUUCUUUUUAAGCAGUAUAUUUUCUUCUGAGAGUUGGUGCAGCCUCCAGCACAGAAAUUUCAGCCAGGGUUAUUGCCUGCCAGUUGUAAUCCCUCAGAAUUUCAGCCAGCAAGGGUAUAAUAAGCUGAACCACCUCAGAGUUUUCAGUCUGUCUUCACUGGAGAGGUGUUGCAUCCCUCUGACCAUCUUUGUGAUUCUCCUCUGGACUUGCUCUGACAGGUAUGUCUUUCUCUUGCUGAGGACCCCAGACCUGUAUGCAAUAUUCCAGGUAUGCAGUGUCCUGUUGCCCAGGUCAUUAAUGAAGAAGCUGAACAUUAUUGGCCCCAGUAUCAACCCCUGGGGUGCACUCCUGCGUUUUCUUCCAACUGGAUUUUGUGCCACGGGUUAAAAUCCAGUGGGCUUAGCCAUCCAACCCAAAUGUCAAUCACUCCUCUGUGCACUCACAUAACCUGUGCUUCAUCACCUUGUCCAAGAGAAUGUUAGGUGAGACAGUGUUAAAAGCCAAGUAAAGUCAGAGUAAAUGACACCCACUACUCUCCUCUCAUUCAAAAAGUUAGUCACUUCAUUGUACAAAGCUAAUGUCUUGGCCAAGCAUGAUUUGCCUUCAUAAUUCUAUGAAGACUACUCCAAAUCACUUUGUCCUUCAGGUGUUUGGAAACGCUGCAGAAGGAUUAUGUCCAUCAUCUUCUCAGCCAGAGAGGUGAGGCUGACUACUCUGUAGUUCUCCAGUUCUUCCUCCUUGCCAUUCUUGUAGAUAGGAAUGGCAUCUGCUCUCUUCAAGAUCCUCACCACUCAUAAAUGUUCAAAACCAAUCAAGAGUGACUUCACAAUGUAAUCAGCCAUCUCCCUCAGCACUCAGAUCCUACAAACAUAUUUGUGUAUUUUAAACUUAGUUUUGUCCUAAUGUACUUCCUGAAGAAAGAAAAGGCUUUAUAAAAAUGGCAGCAUUUCAGGAGAGACUUUAAGCUAAUAAUGUCUCUAUGAAAGUGAUUGCAACUAUUGAAUAAGUAAAAGAGAAAUCCUUCAAAGUAUGUUCACAGUCUUCUGCAAAUAACACCCUACUUAAAGAUCUAACUUUUAAAGGUCUCUCCCAUAUGUUCUAUGCAUGAAGUAAAUGUGAUGUCAGGUUCUAGAGUUAAUGAACUAAGCCCAUCCAGGCAGAAUUUUGAAUGGAGGGAGGAAGGCAAUCAGAGAUUAUAAUAUUUGUUUUCUGAUCAGGUAUUUACUUUACAUCCAUUAGAAACCACAAAACCCUAGAGAAUAUACAGAAGUGCACAGGGCACAGGAACAAUAAAGGGAAAAGAAGUGACAAUUUCAUGAUAUACUGGCAUUUGGUUAUCAAGAGGUCACAAAUAUUGUUUUUCAAUAAUAUGGCAUGUAGAAUAGUUUAUUAUUUUAUAGUAUUUUGCACAGUUUUAUUAUUUGUAUUUAAUAAUUGUAAUUUCUUGUAUCUGCCAUAAGUUGGCUAAUUUAUUUUUCAUCUUUUUUAAUGUAGUAAGUAGAAUUUUGCUGUUGCUUGCUGCUGCAUUAUUGAACUGAGAUUUCAGCUUUUUUCAUUAAGGCAUAGCUUUUGUUGCUUACCUUGACUCCUGAUGAAGAUCCAAAUGUCUAUAUGUAUAUGCAAGAUGAUAUAUAGAAAAUACCUGUAUUUGUUUCCUAAUGCAGAAUUUAAUGAGAAAACAACACAAAGAAACAUCUAUUUUCCAUAUGUAUUAUUCCACCUGUUAAUAAACUGGCAUUUGUUAAAUUUGCCACCUACAGAGGA